AAGAAUUAAACAAGUAAAUGCAUGUCAAAUACAGCAUAGUGCUUUUAAUGUAUUGUAGCUAUGAGUAUUAUUCAUUUUGUUGGCACUUUUUCAAAUUAGCUUAGGUUCAUGGCAGAACCUAGCUAUAAGUUGGCCCGCACCUUGAUCUGUUAUUUGAAUGGAUUGGCCAAGGUCGAAGACAAGGACAAGAGCAACACUCUGACUUUUGUUCUUCCCUAUUGUAUAAGUUAGGUGUAACGAGAAGAGAUCCUCAGCAGAACACUCAGAAUGAUGAGAGGAGAUCUGAGACCUGUGGGGAAAACAACCACAACAAACAUCCAUUCAUCACCAUUUUCUCAGCACCAUUGUGGGGAGUCCUACCCAUGGCUACAGAGGAAUGGCCCAAGAUGGAAGCCUGGCCUGGCAAUGCCUUCAGUUACCAGAAGGAUGUUACUAUACAUAGUGGCAAAGUUGCAAGGCCCUUCAGGUCGCCAACACUCCUCCUAAUUUCAAAGAAAUUACCAGCAGGUAAUUUCAAAGAAAAGGGAAUAGAGGCCCUGAAAGGUGAGGAGACUUAAAUAAUACUAUGUCAGAUUCAGGACAGAGCAAGAGUUGGAUACGAAGAAAUGGGCUUCCUCUAUUGCGGGAAAGAUAAGAGAGUUCAGUUACACAGCAGGAAAUCUGACCCCAGAGACUGACCAGAAUAGAGAACUAAGGGCAUGACACCCUCAGCCCUGUAAAGUUGUAGA
rnacentral:lncRNA from 1 species